rnacentral:pre_miRNA from 1 species
CGGUGGUUUUUGCAAAACCGUUUUUUUACACGUUGGCCAAUUAUAAUUCGGCCACGUCAUUAUUUUUUAUAAUAAAAAAUUAAAAUUAAAAUGUUUGUUCAGAAAUUUGAUUUUUUAUUAUAAAAAAAUAAUGACGUGGCCGAAUUAUAAUUGGCCACGUGUAAAAAAUGGUUUUGCAAAACCACCG